rnacentral:rRNA from 1 species
GAAAGAAACCCGAAGGCGCAAUGAAAGUGAAGGUCGACCCGAACUGGCCGACCGAGGCGGGAUCCGUCCGGGCAUCGCCGCGAUGCGGAGCUCUCUCUCGUAGGGGGCUCGGUCGCGGGGGCACGGCGGCGCACCGCCGGCCCGUCUCGACCGCUUCUCGUCGGCGAGGCGGAGCAAGAGCGCACACGUUGGGACCCGAAAGAUGGUGAACUAUGCUCGGGCAGGACGAAGCCAGAGGAAACUCUGGUGGAGGUCCGUAGCGAUUCUGACGUGCAAAUCGAUCGUCGGACCUGAGUAUAGGGGCGAAAGACUAAUCGAACCGUCUAGUAGCUGGUUCCUUCCGAA